GGGGAGAUCAUCGACAAGACCCACCAGUCCUUUGGGGCAGAGAUUAUUGGUAUUGGUGAAAAGAAUACAACAAAAAAAGUAGAGAAUAAGUAAUUUCACGAAGUCGGUAAUGUCCUCUUCGUCCUGCUUGGGUGACAUCUCCUUCAAAACCACCUCCAGGUUCUUGCGGUCGACCUUCUUCCCCUCAAGGAAACGAUUUUGAAUAUCCGACCCCCAAUUGAGGCUUAGGUCUAGAGCUUGGCCCGACAGGGGUAAUCCAAGAAGAACUGCCACCUCCUUGGCCGUGAAGCAUAUGACUUGAGGGCUAUUUCGAAUUCUACGCCCUCCUUCCAAUAACGGAGGAUGAACUCCAGCAAUGGCCUAUCUGAGGUGAUGUCGGAGAAGUGUAAGAUAUUACCGAAUAUCGUACUCUGGAUGAUGGGAAGAUGAUGCGACUUCACGACCGACGCGUAAGUCUUCCUGUACGCUCCGACGAAACACCGAGAAUUCACAAUGAAUCUACCGGCGGGGCCGCCAGCAACCGGCCGCGAAGGCGCCUUACGGCCAUUAGCAGACGAUGAAUCAGUAGAUUGCGACGACUUCGACGCCAUUGCAAGCAAUGUAGAUUUAGAUUGGUCGUGUAUUCGCCGAUGGGAUUCGAAGCGGACGAUGGUGAUUACAAAUAGAAAUGCGGUUGAUAGGGAAAUGAUCGCCGUAAGGCGGUUUAGAGGCCUUAAGGAUUAGAAUAGGGUAAUGGGGAGCAACAGGAGUUUGAAAAUUAGUGGGAUGCUAGUAU
rnacentral:lncRNA from 1 species